rnacentral:rRNA from 1 species
GGUUAAGCGACUAAGCGUACACGGUGGAUGCCUAGGCAAUCAGAGGCGAUGAAGGACGUGCUAAUCUGCGAUAAGCGUCGGUAAGGUGAUAUGAACCGUUAUAACCGACGAUUUCCGAAUGGGGAAACCCAGUGCAAUUCGUUGCACUAUCGUUUGAUGAAUACAUAGUCAAACGAAGCGAACCGGGGGAACUGAAACAUCUCAGUACCCCGAGGAAAAGAAAUCAACCGAGAUUCCCCUAGUAGCGGCGAGCGAACGGGGAGCAGCCCAGAGUCUUAAUCAGCAUUAGCAUCAGGAGAACGGUCUGGAAAGUCCGGCAGUAAAGGGUGAUAGCCCCGUAUCCGAAGGUGUUAGUGUUGUGAACUCGACGAGUAGGGCGGGACACGUGUUAUCCUGUCUGAAUAUGGGGGGACCAUCCUCCAAGGCUAAAUACUCCUGAUUGACCGAUAGUGAACCAGUACCGUGAGGGAAAGGCGAAAAGAACCCCGGCGAGGGGAGUGAAAUAGAACCUGAAACCGUGUACGUACAAGCAGUGGGAGCCUUGAUUUAUCAGGGUGACUGCGUACCUUUUGUAUAAUGGGUCAGCGACUUAUAUUCUGUAGCAAGGUUAACCGUAUAGGGGAGCCGUAGGGAAACCGAGUCUUAACUGGGCGAAUGAGUUGCAGGGUAUAGACCCGAAACCCGGUGAUCUAGCCAUGGGCAGGUUGAAGGUUGGGUAACACUAACUGGAGGACCGAACCGACUAAUGUUGAAAAAUUAGCGGAUGACUUGUGGCUGGGGGUGAAAGGCCAAUCAAACCGGGAGAUAGCUGGUUCUCCCCGAAAGCUAUUUAGGUAGCGCCUCGUGAACUCAUCUUCGGGGGUAGAGCACUGUUUCGACUAGGGGGUCAUCCCGACUUACCAACUCGAUGCAAACUACGAAUACCGAAGAAUGUUAUCACGGGAGACACACGGCGGGUGCUAACGUUCGUCGUGAAGAGGGAAACAACCCAGACCGCCAGCUAAGGUCCCAAAGUCAUAGUUAAGUGGGAAACGAAGUGGGAAGGCUCAGACAGCCAGGAUGUUGGCUUAGAAGCAGCCAUCAUUUAAAGAAAGCGUAAUAGCUCACUGGUCGAGUCGGCCUGCGCGGAAGAUGUAACGGGGCUAAACUAUGCACCGAAGCUGCGGCAGCGAUAUUUAGAUAUUGUUGGGUAGGGGAGCGUUCUGUAAGCCUGCGAAGGUGUGCUGUGAGGCAUGCUGGAGGUAUCAGAAGUGCGAAUGCUGACAUAAGUAACGAUAAUGCGGGUGAAAAACCCGCACGCCGGAAGACCAAGGGUUCCUGUCCAACGUUAAUCGGGGCAGGGUGAGUCGACCCCUAAGGCGAGGCAGAAAUGCGUAGUCGAUGGGAAACGGGUUAAUAUUCCCGUACUGGUGAUAAUUGCGAUGGGGGGACGGAGAAGGCUAGGCUAUCCGGGCGACGGUUGUCCCGGUUUAAGAAUGUAGGCAGGUGAAUUAGGCAAAUCCGGUUCACUAUAUGCUGAGGUUCGAUGACGAGUCACUACGGUGAUGAAGUAGCUCAUGCCCCGCUUCCAGGAAAAGCCUCUAAGCUCUAGAUUAUCAUUAAUCGUACCCCAAACCGACACAGGUGGUCAGGUAGAGAAUACUCAGGCGCUUGAGAGAACUCGGGUGAAGGAACUAGGCAAAAUGGUGCCGUAACUUCGGGAGAAGGCACGCUGGCGCUAGGUGAAGUCCCUCGCGGAUGGAGCUGAAGCCAGUCGCAGAUACCAGCUGGCUGCAACUGUUUAUUAAAAACACAGCACUGUGCAAACACGAAAGUGGACGUAUACGGUGUGACGCCUGCCCGGUGCUGGAAGGUUAAUUGAUGGGGUUAUCCGUAAGGAGAAGCUCUUGAUCGAAGCCCCAGUAAACGGCGGCCGUAACUAUAACGGUCCUAAGGUAGCGAAAUUCCUUGUCGGGUAAGUUCCGACCUGCACGAAUGGCGUAAUGAUGGCCAGGCUGUCUCCACCCGAGACUCAGUGAAAUUGAACUCGCUGUGAAGAUGCAGUGUACCCGCGGCAAGACGGAAAGACCCCGUGAACCUUUACUAUAGCUUGACACUGAACAUUGAGCCUUGAUGUGUAGGAUAGGUGGGAGGCUUCGAAGCGUGGACGCCAGUCUGCGUGGAGCCAACCUUGAAAUACCACCCUUUAAUGUUUGAUGUUCUAACGUUGCCCCGUUAUCCGGGGUGCGGACAGUGUCUGGUGGGUAGUUUGACUGGGGCGGUCUCCUCCCAAAGAGUAACGGAGGAGCACGAAGGUUGGCUAAGCAUGGUCGGACAUCAUGCGGUUAGUGCAAAGGCAUAAGCCAGCUUGACUGCGAGAGUGACGGCUCGAGCAGGUACGAAAGUAGGUCUUAGUGAUCCGGUGGUUCUGAAUGGAAGGGCCAUCGCUCAACGGAUAAAAGGUACUCCGGGGAUAACAGGCUGAUACCGCCCAAGAGUUCAUAUCGACGGCGGUGUUUGGCACCUCGAUGUCGGCUCAUCACAUCCUGGGGCUGAAGUAGGUCCCAAGGGUACGGCUGUUCGCCGUUUAAAGUGGUACGCGAGCUGGGUUUAGAACGUCGUGAGACAGUUCGGUCCCUAUCUGCCGUGGGCGUUGGAAGAUUGAAAGGGGCUGCUCCUAGUACGAGAGGACCGGAGUGGACGCACCACUGGUGUUCGGGUUGUCAUGCCAAUGGCAUUGCCCGGUAGCUAAGUGCGGAAGAGAUAACCGCUGAAAGCAUCUAAGCGGGAAACUUGCCUUGAGAUGAGUCUUCCCUGACCCUUUAAGGGUCCUAAAGGAACGUUUAAGACUAAGACGUUGAUAGGUUGGGUGUGUAAGCAUAGCGAUAUGUUGAGCUAACCAAUACUAAUGAACCGUGAGGCUUAACCUG